UACAGAGGGUGCAAGCGUUGUUCGGAAUUAUUGGGCGUAAAGGGCGCGUAGGCGGUCCGACAAGUCAGGGGUGAAAUCCUGCAGCUUAACUGCAGAAGUGCCUUUGAUACUGUCGGCCUUGAGGGAGAUAGGGGUGUGCGGAACUUCCAGUGGAGCGGUGAAAUGCGUUGAUAUUGGAAGGAACGCCGGUGGCGAAAGCGGCGCACUGGAUCUCUUCUGACGCUGAGGCGCGAAAGCUAGGGGAGCGAACGGG
rnacentral:rRNA from 1 species